UAGGGAAUCUUCCACAAUGGGCGCAAGCCUGAUGGAGCAACGCCGCGUGAGUGAAGAAGGUCUUCGGAUCGUAAAACUCUGUUGUUAGAGGAGAACAUGCGAGAGAGUAACUGUUCUUGUAUUGACGGUAUCUAACCAGAAAGCCACGGCUAACUACGUGCCAG
rnacentral:rRNA from 1 species